GUGGGGAAUCUUAGACAAUGGGGGGAAACCCUGAUCUAGCCAUGCCGCGUGAUCGAUGAAGGCCUUAGGGUUGUAAAGAUCUUUCAGGUGGGAAGAUAAUGACUGUACCACCAGAAGAAGCCCCGGCUAACUCCGUGCCAGCAGCCGCGGUAAUACGGAGGGGGCUAGCGUUGUUCGGAAUUACUGGGCGUAAAGCGCACGUAGGCGGAUUGGAAAGUUGGGGGUGAAAUCCCGGGGCUCAACCCCGGAACUGCCUUCAAAACUCCCAGUCUUGAGUUCGAGAGAGGUGAGUGGAAUUCCGAGUGUAGAGGUGAAAUUCGUAGAUAUUCGGAGGAACACCAGUGGCGAAGGCGGCUCACUGGCUCGAUACUGACGCUGAGGUGCGAAAGCGUGGGGAGCAAACAGGAUUAGAAACCCUGGUAGUCC
rnacentral:rRNA from 1 species